UCAAGAGAUUGUGCGGUCGUCAUUCAGCGCGUUCCAUCUCCACCUCUGUUUUUCGCUCUAUUUCUCGCCUUAUCCUCUUCCUCUUCAAUAUCAAUUCUACUAGCCUCCACCGCCUCCAUCUUUGCUGCUCGCUGGCGCGAGUUAGCCCCGGUCUCCAGUGCUGAUUUCGGCCGCCCUGCAUUAUGCCCCAGCACGUACACUCGCGGCAAACCCUAGCCGUUGGCGUUGGCGUUGGCGAUAUGCGGGCUAGCCGUUGGUAGCGGUGGCUCGCCCCUGCACUACAACCCGACGACCUGGUUCUGUUCGUUGCUGUUUUGGCACUACACCUCCUCCGCGGCUGAACGUCGCAUGGGGAGGCCGACGAGGGCCCAUCAAAGGCGGAGGAGGCACUGAUGGAUGAGGAGAAGCGGGGCAUGUACGCCUCCAUGGAGAGCUUCGUCGGCAACGGUUAGAACGGCUCGGGGCUCUUCACUGAUCCCCCGUCGACAGACUCGCAUCUAGGUCACCGUGUUCUUGUGCAGCCUAUGUUGCUGCCCUUUCCCCCCUCUGUACUGCCUCUCCCUCGACUACGCCCAGUAAUUCUCCCGGUACAUUCGGUGUAUCUACGGAUGUGUUGACGGUACAGAGGGGAGUCGCCGUACGGCGUGUCGGUACACCGACGCGCUUUACAUGCCAGAGUCGCUCCGGGAGUUCGCCGCGGGCGGGCGGUGGUACCAAGAAGAUCCGCCGCUCAAGCCGAUGAGCGGCGGCGACUUCGAGAAGUGGCGCGCCGAGUGGGAGCGUGACCGCGCUUCGAAGGCGGCAUGGGCGGCGCGUAUCGGCAGCACCAGCGGCGGAGGAAGCGGAGGAGAUCCGCGAGCCGGCGAGGAGGAAGCGGAGGAGGCAGAGGAGGAGGCGGCGUUCCUGUAGGCGGUGGCCGCAUCCGAGAAGGAUGCCGCCGAGAAGGCUCGGGCGGAGGCAGAGGAGGAGGUGGCGGCCAUCGCCGCCGUCAGGGAAUUCAAGGCGCGGGAGGCUGCCGCCAGGGGGCCGUUCGUCCCAUUCGUCAUCCUUGACGAUUAGAUAGGAUCGCGCAAUGUAGGAUCUCGCAAUGUAUGUAUGAUCCGUAGUAUGAUCAAUGAAGAUGAACUAUCGAUAAAGUUCCCGGGGUUUUAAUUUUAAAAAAUACGGAGCGAAAUACGGGGUCUGCUAGACGGAAUGGUUCUUCCGUGAGCAAUUUUUUGAUACGGGGCGAAAUAGUCGCGUUAUACGGGGCAGAGAAAUACGGGGUGUGUUAGACAUGCUCUAAC